rnacentral:rRNA from 1 species
CAAGUCGAGCGGUAACAGGUGUAGCAAUACAUGCUGACGAGCGGCGAACGGGUGAGUAAUGCAUUGGAAUCUUCCCAGUAGUGGGGAAUAACCAGUCGAAAGAUUGGCUAAUACCGCAUACGUCUGUGAAGAGAAAGCGGGGGAUCGCAAGACCUCGCGCUAUUGGAUGAGCCAAUGUCGGAUUAGCUAGUUGGUGGGGUAAUGGCCCACCAAGGCGACAAUCCGUAGCUGGUCUGAGAGGACGACCAGCCACACCGGAACUGAGACACGGUCCGGACUCCUACGGGAGGCAGCAGUGGGGAAUAUUGGACAAUGGGGGAAACCCUGAUCCAGCGACGCCGCGUGUGUGAAGAAGGCCUGCGGGUUGUAAAGCACUUUUAGUGGGGACAAAAAGUCACGGGCUAAUACCCUGUGAUCUUGAUUUAACUCACAGAAAAAGCACCGGCUAACUCUGUGCCAGCAGCCGCGGUAAUACAGAGGGUGCGAGCGUUAAUCGGAAUUACUGGGCGUAAAGCGCGCGUAGACGGUUUGGUAAGUCAGAUGUGAAAUCCCCGGGCUCAACCUGGGAACUGCAUUUGAUACUGCCUGGCUAGAGUAUGGAAGAGGGAAGUGGAAUUUCCGGUGUAGCGGUGAAAUGCGUAGAUAUCGGAAGGAACACCAGUGGCGAAAGCGACUUCCUGGUCCAAUACUGACGUUCAUGUGCGAAAGCGUGGGGAGCAAACAGGAUUAGAUACCCUGGUAGUCCACGCCAUAAACGAUGACAACUAGAUGUUGGGAGGGUCUGCCUCUCGGUGUCGCAGCUAACGCGUUAAGUUGUCCGCCUGGGGAGUACGGCCGCAAGGUUGAAACUCAAAGGA